UUUUAAAGCAUUAAGUAGAAGCUCGGUUAUAAUUAAUACAGGCAACAAUAGCAUUGAUAACGUUCAAAUAAAUAAACAUAAAAUUUGACGGUACCUUACGGAAAACUUACUUUUAUUAAGAAUAUUAAACACUGUGAAUUGAAGCAUCUUAUUAGCAGUGAUAAAUAAGAAUCAAAAGAGAGUCCGAAUUAUAUGGCGAAUAUUUCUCGGAAUACAAAAUAGUAGCUUUUAUUUACCCCAACGUAUAUGGAGUAUAAAUAAUUUUAGAGCUGUAAGAGGUAAUAAAGCCCUCUUAAUUUAUAUCUCGUUGGGAGUUUAAUACUUUUAAAGUAAGGUGAGAAAUCUUAUCUGAAAAUAGAAGACCCAUCUUCUAAAGCGAAAUAAAAUUAUAAACCUAUAGUGAACAAGUACUGUGAAGGAAAGCUAUAAACUUAAAUGCUUUUGAUUUAGUUGUUGGAGUUAACUUAAUAAAUAAAGUUUUUAAUUACAACGUACCUUUUGUAUAAGGAGCCAGAGAAUUAAUUUAACAAGCGUUGCACCCUCUUAAAAGACAGGUGUGUUAACUAAGCUUAAACUGUAUAUUGAUAUAAAUCAAUAUUAAGAUUAUAAUAGUGAAGGCGUAAUGAAAGUAUUUAUUGUUUGUUAAUUUAAACCCGAAACUAAGCGAUCUAUUUAAGGUCAAGCUUAAAUAUUUUUAAGGCUGAACUCGUACCUGUUGCAAAAGGUUGAGAUGAACUUUAAAUAGUGGUGAAAUGCUAAUCGAGCUUAGAUAUAGCUGGAUUUCUGCGAAAAUUAUUUUAGUAAUGCGUACUUAUUAAAACUUUAUAUCUAGGUAGAGCAAACAAAAUUUAACAUACUUAAUUUGUUGAUUUUUUAAUAAAACUCUGAAUAAGAUUAAAUUAUAUGUACAGUUAGACUAUAGGUUUAAGAUUUAUAGUCAAAAGGGAAACAGCCCAGAUUAUUUGAUAAGGUCCUUAAACAACAUUAAGUAUAAUGAAGUUUUACUCUAUUCAUGACAUUUAAUAGGUAGGCUUGGAAGCAGCCAUCCAAUAAUGAAAGCGUAAUAGCUCAAUAAACUAAGUAAAGUAGA
rnacentral:ncRNA from 1 species